UAAUUUACUAAGUUAAAAAAAAAUCCCCCGCAAAAAGAGAGAAAAAAAAAGCUCUUACGAAGUUUGUGUGUUUUAGACUAGGAAGUUGUUACAAAUUGAAUCCAAAAAGAAAAAGGAAUUGAAAGAGGAAUUGAGGAAGAGAAAUCGAUAGAUGAAGGAACCGUUGCGAAGAACGAAGGUGGUGAUAAGGCAUCUGCCACCGUCAGUCACCCAAUCAUUUCUUUUCUCUCAAAUCGACGAUCGUUUCUCUGAUCGUUACAAUUGGUUCUCCUUCCGUCUCGGCAAGUCCAGCCAUAAGCAUCAGAGGUACUCUCGAGCCUAUAUAAACUUCAAGAGACCUGAAGAUGUUUUUGAGUUCGCUGAGUUCUUUGAUGGGCAUGUAUUUGUUAAUGAGAAGGGUACUCAAUUUAAGGCCAUUGUUGAAUAUGCUCCUUCACAGCGUGUCCCAAAGCCUGGCACUAAAAAGGAUGGUCGUGAAGGGACCAUUUUCAAAGAUCCUGAUUAUCUGGAAUUCCUCAAACUGAUUGCAAAACCUGUUGACAAUCUUCCUAGUGCUGAGAUUCAGUUGGAAAGAAAAGAAGUGGAGCUAUCUGGUGCUCCAAAAGAAACCCCUGUCGUUACACCAUUAAUGGAAUUUGUGCGUCAGAAACGAGCUGCUGAGAGUGGAACUCAGGGGCCAGUUACUAGAAGAAAGAUUGGCAGAAAAGCUGGUGCUGCAUCUACAGGCAAGUCUGGAUCAAGUAGCAAGCGUGGCUCUGAGAAGAAAAAGUAUAUUCUAAAAGACAGUGUAAAAGGUACACAUCACAAGGACAAGUCCAAAUUUUUUGUAGCAUCCAAGCAAGAGGAUCAGCCAGUGCCUUCUGUUGGGAAAGAAAAAAGAGAGAAUGGAACUGUCUACGGCAUUGAUGGUCCUGUAACUGGAAUUACUUUAACUGCUGAUUCUGGGAAGAAAAAGAUCCUGCUCCUAAAACCAAAAGAUCAAGAAGCUCCUCAUGUCCCACAGGGUGCAUCAGAACAGCAGGGUUCAUCAUCUCCUGUAGCAAAUUCACCUGGUUCAACUGCUCCAAAACAGAGUCAAAGACGUGAGGCUGGUGGAAGGUUGAUAAGGAGCAUACUUUUGAGUAAUGAAGCAAGCCAAAAUCAACCUUUAGCAGGAGUCAAGCCUCAGCAGAAAACUCAAACUAUGAAUUUGGACAAUGUCAAGAGACCUCCUCGACCUGCUAAUACACGAUUGGGUAUGCAUGGUCAUGUCUCUAAUAAUGAAAUACCUGCAUUGAAAUCUGAUGGUGAUAAAAAAGGAGCUUCAAAUGACAAGUUUAUCAAAAAGGGACUGCAUGGUUCAGGUUCUGGGAGUGAGAAGCAUGAAAAACGUAUAAGAAAUAAGGAUAGACUUGAUCGUGGUGUAUGGGCCCCUCUUCGAGGUUCUGAUGUUUCACAAGCUAGUGAGGAGCGCUUCUCACCCUCUAUGUCACAAUCUGCACAGGCCUCUUCUAAUUCCAUUGAAGGAGAAAUGAAAGGCGACAUACCUAAUGGAAGAAGCGGGCGUAAUGUUCCGUCAGAAAAUGGUUCAAAUAGACAUUUUGAUCGGCGCUCAGCAGCCUAUAAUAUAAAGGAUGAUGGGUCUGUCAUAUCAAGUGAGAGCAAGUCUUCCAAAAGAGGUGCUACUGGCUCUGGAGCCCAUGAGAAACAAAUUUGGGUUCAGAAGUCAUCUUCAGGUUCUUAGAAAAUCUACCUAGUUGUAAUGUAAUACAUAUGAUCUUCCAACAAGAAUAUCUAUUACAUAAGUAAAAGGAAGCCCCUCCUCUAGCCACGUGGAGGCCAUAGAAGAAAAGAAAAAAGUGUAAAAGUGAAUCUUUGAGCCUUUGUGCGCCGAACAUGAUGCUGCCAGAGAACAGCUUUCUUUUGUGAGGGAUAUGGGCUUUAAUGAGUUUAUUUUGGAGGGUGAUUCGAUAAGACGAUGUUGAUUUGCAAGGCUCUACAAGACGCCGAGGGGAAUUGGUUUGAAUGCUGGGCUAUACAUUGAUCAAGAGCCAGAUGAGGAUACUCAGAUGCUGUAUUCUAAGGCAAGUCGACCUGGAAUGGUGUAGCUCAUGAUCUGGCUAAAUAAGUCUUGUACGCCACAGGUUUCCAUUUAAAUUGAAGAAAUUCCUAAGAUGUUGGUAGUGAAGGAAGCUUUAGAUUGAAUCUCAUAGAAUGAAAAAAAUCCAUAUUUUGGAAUUGUUUAUAUGUGUAGAAUAUUAUUGGUGAAGAAUGAUGUUUAGACUUUAGAUUAUCUUCAAUAUGGUUUUGCUACUUUAUUAUUA